UAAUGACGGCCGUGACGUUGGACAAGUCUGGAGGCGGCCUCUACGCGCCUGGAGGAGGCCUCAGCCUCGUCUGCAAUGGCUCAGGGUUCACCUUCAGUGAUUAUAGCAUGAUGUGGGUGCGACAGGCACCAGGAAAGGGGCUGGAAUACGUCGCUGGUAUUACUGGUGCUGGUGGUUACACAGAAUAUGGGCCGGCGGUGCAAGGCCGUGCCACCAUCACGAGGGACGACGGGCAGAGCACAGUGAGGCUGCAGCUGAACAGCCUGAAGGACGAGGACUCGGCCAUGUAUUACUGCGCCAAACAAGCUGGUGGUGGUUGGGAUGCUGCUAAUGGGAUUGACGUCACUGCUGGAUUUAAUAGAAUCAGCCACUGCCCAGACUGGGAUCUCAGAGCUCACUGUCAUGGUCUUGGUUAUCAACAUGGUUAUGGUCAUGGUUAUCAGCCAUCACUGAGACCCAAUGGGGACCCUAUAUGGACACAGUAG